UACGGGGGGGGCAAGCGUUGUUCGGAAUUACUGGGCGUAAAGGGCUCGUAGGCGGCCAACUAAGUCAGACGUGAAAUCCCUCGGCUUAACCGGGGAACUGCGUCUGAUACUGGAUGGCUUGAGUUUGGGAGAGGGAUGCGGAAUUCCAGGUGUAGCGGUGAAAUGCGUAGAUAUCUGGAGGAACACCGGUGGCGAAGGCGGGUCUCUGGACAGUUCCUGACGCUGAGGCACGAAGGCCAGGGGAGCAAACGGG
rnacentral:rRNA from 1 species